GUUGAAUUUGAAAUGGAUCCGUUUAUACUCUUGUAUUUGUUUUCACCGGGCACUGAACUAUGUGCAAAGACCUGCGCUCUUUACCUCUUGAAGGUCCUUUUACCCUGUAGAGAGAAGCAGACCCAGGAAGGAAUAACUGCAAACAAUAGAUACCCACGAGAUGUGAGAGACAUUUAAAGAAGCCAUACAACCGGCUGGCGACUCCUCGUGGCUUACUGACACCAAGGCCUACAGGAAAGCCUGCGUGCCGGAUGAUUUUCCUUCUUAAAUGGCACUUUGGCAUCCAAAACCCACCAGUAAGCUCUGAGAAACUAUUCCCACAAGAGUCGGCUGGAAAAAAGCUUUUCCAGUUUCUCCACAGGCCAACCAGGCUAGCCAAAGAUCCUACGAGAAGUGGGGGCCACUGUGGGGUGCACCUCGAGCUCUGGCCCCAUCCCAAUCUCUCUGCUCCUCCCAGCUGCGUUUUGUUCCAUGAUUGAGCAGACUCAUCUCGUCCUACCUUCACCAAAGGAAAGGGCUCUGAAGCUCACAUUUCCCCAGCCCACGUGGAUUCGCUUUCUUCUGGGCGGACUCCCCCACUCGACAUGGAGGCGAGUUUACCUUAACAGCGUGUGGCAAGCAACAUUGAAAGAUGCACGGAAAACAUGAACGAAUGAACACUUGUGACCACCACGGGUCCACAUACUAGGACGUAAAGCACACCGAGGACCAGGGUGAAUCCUGAAUUGUAAAUGUUUAUGGAAGGUAUGGUUUGAAUGUGAAAUGUCCACCCUCCAUUUAAACUACCUGGACCCCCAGCUGGUGUCGCUGUUUGGAGAGGCUGUGGAACCUGAGGGGCUGUCCUCGAUGGGCUAGGAAAGGCACAUCUGUCCCUGUUUCCAGCAAUAGCGGCAUACUUUCUAGUUAGCCACAAGGUAUCUGAGCUACAGAACAAGAUCUAGAGGUCAUUGACUGAGCUACAGUAAGGUAUCCUUGCUAUGACGGACUGUAGUCCUUAAACUCUGAGCCCAAAUAUAUCCUUCCUUCUUUCCCUCCUUCCUUCUUUCCUUCCUUCCCUUCUUCCUUCUUUCCUUCCUUCCUUCCUUCUCUCCUUCCUUCCUUCCCUCUUUCCCUCCUUCCUUCCUUCUCUCCUUCCUUCCCUCCUUCCUUCCUUCUUUCCUUCCUUCCCUCCUUCCUUCUUUCCUUCCUUCCUUCUCUCCUUCCUUCUUUCCUUCCUUCCUUCCCUUCUUCCUUCUUUCCUUCCUUCCUUCCCUUCUUCCUUCCUUCCUUCCUUCCUUCCUUCCUUCCUCCUUCUUUCCUUCCUGCCUGCCUGCCUGCCUGCCUGCCUGCCUUCCUUAAGUUACUGUGUCAAGCACUCUGUCCUGACAAUAAGAGAAAGAACUAAUAAGAGCAUAAUACUGGGAACCCUGACUUUUCUGCCUUGGGCUAACCUAGAAGCAAAAUUCUAUAUGACUAUAAUCCUGAAAGAACAACUUUAGUAAUUUGAGUAGACUCAAUGCAAAUAUUUGCAAGCCCUGAGGCAAUUAAACUUGUUACUUUCUUCAAUAAAAUGUUUGUAUCCCAAUUAAAAUGAGAACAUAGUUGGAUUUUUUUUGCACCCUGAAUUAUUGCAUAGAGAAAUUUAAGAGUUAAGAGGAAGAAGACAAAAACUCUGGAUUCCUGGUUAUUAAAAUAUUAUUGCCACUCAAACAUUUCUCAUUAGGAAUUGAUCAUUGCCAAAUAAAUAUACAUGAAAAAUGUCCCCGCGUAUAUAUGAGAGGGUCUGUGCUUUUCCUUAGUGCUUCAUACUAUUUAUGCGUUAACUUCAACUUAACACUUCUGCACUGUCUCCUCCAAUGUGAAACAUGAUUCAAAGCCAAACGAUAUUAAAUACAGUGGGAAAGCAUUAGUUAUGGAGGAUGCUACAUUUGCAUAAUGUAUUGCAAUUUCAUCUAAUGGGAGAAUAUCUUAACUCUCCAAAUAUUUCACAAUGGAUAUUUUAUGCUAACAAAACAACGGCUAACCUAGAGGCUAUGUGCAAACAGAAACAUGCCACCAAAUGUACAGUGAGUAUAAUUUCCCCAUUUGUUCUCUCAGUGUGCAGAAUUUGAUUGCUGGGUUCUUUCUGGAACGAUGGCCCCUUUUGUGUUUUUAUUUCCGUCUACAGACACUGAGAUCUGUCCCUCUGUCACUGCAAUGCCUCCUUAGGAGGGAGCCGUAUUUCAGUGAACGUAAUUAAACCAUCACCAACAGGACUUCCAUUAGUCAGAGCAGAGAGCUACUCUAUACUCCAUACACAGCAAAGUAGUUUGCAUUCUGCUGCGGGGGAAAGGCCAGUAAAUAUUUCAUGAGCUCUUCUCGAUUGGAUUGUUUAUUUCACGACAUUUAAAAGAGAUACUUAAUUUUUCUCAGCAGCUAUUUUUUUUUUUUUUUUGUCAUCGAGUUAGAGAAAUAGAUAUUAAGGACAAAAUUUGCAUGGGAUGCCCAAAGCUGGUAUUUUCUCGGAGUGAGGUUUACUGUGCGCAUAAAAAAUAAAUCUCGUGGUGUUCUUUGGAAGAUGCCCUUGGCAUCUCCUGUGUUUUCUAAAGCUAUAUUCUGGUAAUGUUCUGUAUCUAAGGUGUGGGGAGGCGGGGAUUGUAAUUUGAUCGCUGUGGCUUGAUAAAAUUCGGGUUUCACGGUAUAUUAAAAAUGGACACUAGAG
ensembl:lncRNA